UAUAAUUUUAGGUUUAUAGUUUGCUGCCCCCCCCCAUGCAAUAAACCAUGAACUCCUUGAAGAAAGUCACCAAAAUCCCAGUGCCUAGCACAGUAUAGUUGCACAUAGUGGAUGCUAAAACAUAUCUUUGAAUGAAAGGACCUUUUUUCAGUGUUUGUUCAUCUUUCUUCCCAUAGCACCUAAGUGCUUUGCAAUUUAUAAUGGGUGCUCAGUACAUCUUGACCAGUGGUUCUCAACUGAGGACAUUUGGCAACAUCUGGAGACAUUCCUGGUUGUCACUACUGGCAUCUAGUGGGUAGAGGCCAGAGAUGCUGCUAAACAUCCUACAAUGCACAGGACAGCCCCCCCACAACAAAGAAUUACCUGGUCCAAAAUGUCAACAGUGCAAAGGUGGAGAAACCCUGAUCUUGAUGGAAUAAGAAACUGAAUCUACUGUUUACACCCUAUACUCACUGUAGACCACCAGUGCACUAAAUUUGCUUUGUCAGGAAGCCUGCAUUUUUGUUGUUUUUUACAAAAGCAAACUGUUACCCAGCAAGAAAUGAAGAGUAGCGUCCUGGCAUCCAGAAUGAAGACUUUGGCAAUUAAAAAGUACUUGACCAAUAGAAGAACAGAUAUAUAAGUUCCAAUAUCUUUAGGCCUGGACUGCUCUGUGGCAGUGAAAAGGAAUGAAGUAAAGCUGCAUAUAUCAACAGGGAUAAAUCUCCUAAGCGUGAUGUGGAGCGAAGACAGCAAAUUGCAGAAGAUUUAUUGACACGGAGGUCAUCGGUUGGCUAUCCUGUUGAGCACAAUUUCAGUGGAGUGUUGGUGAAGGAAGCCAAAUUGCUGAAUGAGAAACAGACUUUUAUUUGCCAUAAAAGGCCAAACGCCAAAAGUCAAAGGAUCAGAAUGGCAUCAUAUUUUAUCUUCUCAAACUGUAUGGUCUAGAGUCUGCAACCUCUUAGUCACGAAGCCCACUGCACAGGACAGUUUGACAACUUUUGGCUCAGCGGAGCGCCAGAGGCAUGUGAUUUAUCAUCUGAGAAAGUGACCACAGAUGGAAGUAAAAGGGGGGCCAGGUCUAGUCUUGGAUCCCCAUCCUCAGUCCUCAAGCUCCCUUUUCUAACUCUG
rnacentral:lncRNA from 1 species